AUUGAACGCUGGCGGCAUGCUUUACACAUGCAAGUCGAACGGUAACAGGCCGCAAGGUGCUGACGAGUGGCGAACGGGUGAGUAAUGCAUCGGAACGUGCCCAGUCGUGGGGGAUAACUACUCGAAAGAGUAGCUAAUACCGCAUACGAUCUAUGGAUGAAAGCGGGGGACCGUAAGGCCUCGCGCGAUUGGAGCGGCCGAUGUCAGAUUAGGUAGUUGGUGGGGUAAAGGCUCACCAAGCCAACGAUCUGUAGCUGGUCUGAGAGGACGACCAGCCACACUGGGACUGAGACACGGCCCAGACUCCUACGGGAGGCAGCAGUGGGGAAUUUUGGACAAUGGGCGCAAGCCUGAUCCAGCAAUGCCGCGUGCAGGAAGAAGGCCUUCGGGUUGUAAACUGCUUUUGUACGGAACGAAACGGCUCUGGUUAAUACCCGGGGCAAAUGACGGUACCGUAAGAAUAAGCACCGGCUAACUACGUG
rnacentral:rRNA from 1 species